rnacentral:rRNA from 1 species
UACGGAGGGGGCAAGCGUUGUUCGGAAUUACUGGGCGUAAAGGGCUCGUAGGCGGCCAACUAAGUCAUACGUGAAAUCCCUCGGCUUAACCGGGGAACUGCGUCUGAUACUGGAUGGCUUGAGUUUGGGAGAGGGAUGCGGAAUUCCAGGUGUAGCGGUGAAAUGCGUAGAUAUCUGGAGGAACACCGGUGGCGAAGGCGGCAUCCUGGGCCAACACUGACGCUGAGUGAGCGAAAGCCAGGGGAGCAAACGGG